rnacentral:rRNA from 1 species
GACGAACGCUGGCGGCGUGCUUAACACAUGCAAGUCGAACGGAAAGGCCCUGCUUGCAGGGUACUCGCGUGUCGAACGGGGGAGAAACACACGGGAGUUCUCCCCCCCACUUCGGGGUAUGACUGGGAAACACGGUCUAAUACCGGGGAGGGGCGAUUCUGCGUGUUAGUGUUGGAUAGAAUUUUCUGGGUGGGAGGAGCUCGCGGCCUGCUAACUUGUUGGUGGGGGGAUGGGCUACCAACGCGGCGACGGGUAGCCGGCCUGCGGGGGGGGACGGCCACAAUGGGACUGAGGAACGGCCCCGACUCCUACGGGGGGCAGCAGUGGGGGAUAAUGCACAAGGGGGGGGAGCCUGAUGCAGCGACGCCGCGGUGGGGAUGACGGCCUUUGGGGUGGUAACACGUUUCGCCAGGGGCGAAGCUGUUAGUGACGGUACCUGGAGAAGAAGCACCGGCUAACUACGUG